rnacentral:lncRNA from 10 species
AAACAGCAGAGGUAGAGAAGGAAGCUGAAGUGCCUACCACAUCAUGACUGGGGCUACCCUAUCUCUGGACUUCCUAUGGAAAAGAAUACAUUUCUUGAUGGUUUAUAUGGAUCCAAAUUGUGUUUUUCUAUUAUUUGCAGACAAAAUAAUCUCACAGACAUAAGAAGUUAUUAAAAUCCAUAAAACAGUGCUUUCUGACCAUUUAAACUAGUAAGUGGCAGAGCUGGGUUUGAUUCCACUUAAUAGCCACAUGUCUUUGGGCAAGUUGUUUGACCUCUAAGUGAAACAGCCUCAUUGUCUGGAGUCACACCCGAGGUUCAUUUUCUCAUGGCCACGGAGAACAAUAAUGAGGACACAUAAAGAUUGAGGUUGAGAGCGGAAGUUUAAUAUGCAAAAGAAAGAGAAGAGUUCUCUGCUGCAGAGAGGGGUCUCAGAAAAAUGGGUUGCCGGAUCCGCGGUGAAAUGCAGGAGGUUUUAUAGAUGAGCUGGUGGGGAGGCGGCGUCUGAUCUACAUAGGCAAGAAAGGGCAAGAAAGACUGGUUAGACCAGUUGUGCUAUUUGCAUAGGGCACGAAUCUCUGGUAUCCCCCAUCCUAACCUUUUUUUAUUAUCCAGGCGCGUCUCUGCCUGAGGUGCACCAUGUUGCCCAUUUCUUUAUUACUGUACACGUGAUAACAAAAAAAGAGAAGAUGGAGCCUCCAUGUUGGACAUGGCCGCCCCCAGCAACAUUUAUUGACACGGGGGUUACAGAGAUGAACCUGACCCUCAUAAACUCAAACUCCAGUGGAAGCAGAGAGACCUGUCCCUAAAAAAAUUUACACCAGGUGCUGUGAUGAAACUAUGCUGAGUGCAUAGAUGGCCACAAGGGAGAAGGAUGCUUCUCUUCCUGGGGGAGUCAGGAAAUGACUUACAGAUCUCCAUCUUCAGCCUAGAUCUCUUCAUUGGCUUUUGGAUUUGUACAUACAGAUGUCUACCAAGGAACUACAUCUAGAAGUACCUCAGGCAUCUCGAAGUCCAAAACAAAACCUAUUUACCCCACCAAACCUAUUCUUUCUCCCACAUUGUCUACCUCAGUUAAUAAUAUCACCCUCCCUCCAGUCACUCAAGCACAACCUGGUGUGUUCUCUGUGUUCUGGCUCUUUAAUGCUACAAAAUAAACCUCCCCAAAACUCAGUGGUGCAGCAAUUUCUUACUGUCCUUCCUGAUUCUGGAGGUCCAUUGGCUCAGGCAGGUAGUUCUUGUUGGGUUAUCUUAGGUCAUUAAGGACAGAUGUUGUCUGGGGCUGCCGUCAUCUCAUGGCUCAGCUGGACUAGCUGCCCAAGAUGGCUCACUCCUGUGGCUGGUGGGUGAUGCUGGCUGGUAGCUAGGAGCUCAGCUGGGUGGUUUGGGCUUCUCACG